rnacentral:tRNA from 2 species
GGGAUCUUAGCUCAGCUGGGAGAGCAUCUGCCUUACAAGCAGGAGGUCAUAGGUUCGAGCCCUAUAGGUCCCA